rnacentral:pre_miRNA from 1 species
GAGUACUCCAUCCAUCCCAAAAAUAGGCAAACAUUGGUUAGUGUCCGUCUUAUAUGAAAAUUUUUUAUAAUUCGUAUUUUCAUUAUUGUGAGAUGAUAAAACAUGAUUAAUAUUUUAUGCGUGACUUGUCUUUUUUAUUUUUUUUCAUAAUUUUUUUAAAUAAGACGGAAGGUCAAACGUUGGGCAUGGAAACCAGGGUUUCUCUUUUU